UAGGGAAUAUUGGGCAAUGGACGAAAGUCUGACCCAGCAAUACCGCGUGAGUGAUGAAGGCGUUAUGCGUUGUAAAGCUCUUUUACCGGGGAAGAUAAUGACGGUACCCGGAGAAUAAGGACUGACUAACUACGUGCCAGCAGUCGCGGUAAUACGUAGAGUCCUAGCGUUACUCGGAAUUAUUGGGCGUAAAGCAGGUGUAGGCGGACACUUAAGUUACAUGUGAAAUACCUGGGCUUAACCUAGGUGCUGCAUGUAAUACUAUUUGUCUAGAGUGUGAUAGAGGAAGAUGGAAUUUCUAGUGUAGGGGUUAAAUCCGUAGAUAUUAGAAGGAACACCGAAGGCGAAGGCAGUCUUCUGGGUCACAACUGACGCUGAGAUCUGACAGUGUGGGGAGCAAACAGG
rnacentral:rRNA from 1 species